rnacentral:tRNA from 1 species
GGUCGCAUGGCCGAGUGGUUAGGCAAGGGUCUGCAAAACCCUCCACCCCGGUUCAAUUCCGGGUGCGACCUCAA